CUACGGGGGGCUGCAGUGAGGAAUAUUACACAAUGGGGGGAACCCUGAUGCAGCAACGCCGCGUGGAGGAUGACGCAUUUCGGUGUGUAAACUCCUUUUAUAUGUCAAGAAAAUGACGGUAGCAUAUGAAUAAGCACCGGCUAACUCCGUGCCAGCAGCCGCGGUAAUACGGAGGGUGCAAGCGUUACUCGGAAUCGCUGGGCGUAAAGGACGCGUAGGCGGGUUGGAAAGUCAGGUGUGAAAUCCUACAGCUUAACUGUAGAACUGCACUUGAAACUUCUAAUCUAGAGUAUGGGAGGGGGAGAUGGAAUUAGUGGUGUAGGGGUAAAAUCCGUAGAUAUCACUAGGAAUACCCAAAGCGAAGGCGAUCUCCUGGAACAUUACUGACGCUAAGGCGUGAAAGCGUGGGGAGCAAACAGGAUUAGAUACCCCUGUAGUC
rnacentral:rRNA from 1 species